UUCACUGGUGGGAACAAGUUGGGUAGGGGUGAUUGGUCAGUACAAAAGGGGUAUUCAUUUGAACUGAUUGGUUUAAGCCAAGAGCGGUGUUCCUGCUGCACUACAUGGUUUCCCAAUCACCAUAAACUACUGGGAGGGUUAUCUGGCAUCCCAGGUAUUUCCCUGUCUCAUGCUGAUUGGUGGCUGCUAGGGGGUUGCUAUGGAUCCCCACCUAGCCUGACUGAGUCAGGGACACCUGGUGCAGCAGAUCUCUCCUGUUAUUUGUAGAUAAACAACUUAGCAGGGUGGGAAUGUGCCUAGGAGUGCUCUGUGGGUUUUUCCAAGGACAAAGGUGAUGUCCCUUCCUUGGACAGGCUUUGCUCUGAGAUAGAGGCUGGUUUUUCAAGAGGGAACAACAGCACUGGCCUUGUGUCCUGUGGUGAGCCUGGGCAUUCCUGCCGGAGUUUCCAACCAGAACUCGUGAGCUUAAAAGUCCUGGAUCAGCAGCAGAGGGCACCAAGUGACCACACUGGAUCCACACAGCUGGGGUGUCAGCCUCUGCUGAGAGCUCCUGAGGCUUCUUAGGAAGUACAGAGGGUGCAGCCCUGAACUGACCAGCACUUUCCCUCUUGGUGCCUUGGUUACCUCAUCGCUGCAAUAUGGACACACAUGUUUACUAACUGUUGGCACUGGGGAGCAUAUGUGAGGGGGUUAGUCCAGCCCAGUACAGCUCUACUGUACUAGGUAGCCUCAAUAUUUUAUUAUGUUUUCACAUAUCAUUUAUAUAAAUUAUGAUAUUUUAACAAGUGA